rnacentral:rRNA from 1 species
AUGCAAGUCGAACGAUGAAGCCCUUCGGGGUGGAUUAGUGGCGAACGGGUGAGUAACACGUGGGCAAUCUGCCCUUCACUCUGGGACAAGCCCUGGAAACGGGGUCUAAUACCGGAUACCACUCCUGCCCGCAUGGGUAGGGGUUGAAAGCUCCGGCGGUGAAGGAUGAGCCCGCGGCCUAUCAGCUUGUUGGUGGGGUAAUGGCCCACCAAGGCGACGACGGGUAGCCGGCCUGAGAGGGCGACCGGCCACACUGGGACUGAGACACGGCCCAGACUCCUACGGGAGGCAGCAGUGGGGAAUAUUGCACAAUGGGCGAAAGCCUGAUGCAGCGACGCCGCGUGAGGGAUGACGGCCUUCGGGUUGUAAACCUCUUUCAGCAGGGAAGAAGCGAAAGUGACGGUACCUGCAGAAGAAGCGCCGGCUAACUACGUGCCAGCAGCCGCGGUAAUACGUAGGGCGCAAGCGUUGUCCGGAAUUAUUGGGCGUAAAGAGCUCGUAGGCGGCUUGUCACGUCGGAUGUGAAAGCCCGAGGCUUAACCUCGGGUCUGCAUUCGAUACGGGCUAGCUAGAGUGUGGUAGGGGAGAUCGGAAUUCCUGGU